UUAAGUUCAGCGGGUAUUCCUACCUGAUCUGAGGUCAACCUUGGAAGAGUUGGGGGGUUUUACGGCGGACCGCACCGCUCUCCGCCCGCGAGUGUUUCACUACUACGCAGAGGAGGCUACGGCGUGGUCGCCACUGUAUUUAGGGGCCGGCCGCCCGUCAGACGGGUGGCCGAUCCCCAACACCGCCCCCGACAGAAGCC
rnacentral:misc_RNA from 1 species